rnacentral:rRNA from 1 species
CAGCAGCCGCGGUAAUACGGAGGGAGCUAGCGUUAUUCGGAAUUACUGGGCGUAAAGCGCACGUAGGCGGCUUUGUAAGUUAGAGGUGAAAGCCUGGAGCUCAACUCCAGAAUUGCCUUUAAGACUGCAUCGCUUGAAUCCAGGAGAGGUGAGUGGAAUUCCGAGUGUAGAGGUGAAAUUCGUAGAUAUUCGGAAGAACACCAGUGGCGAAGGCGGCUCACUGGACUGGUAUUGACGCUGAGGUGCGAAAGCGUGGGGAGCAAACAGGAUUAGAUACCCCAGUAGUCCCUGUCUCUUAUAA